GAUUUCAACUGAAAAAGUCAUCAACAACAAAGUUGUAUAACUCAUCCAAAUAUAUAACUUUUAUUUUGGUCAUUUCUUCAUCCGAUAAAUUGAUAGUAACAUUGUUCAAAAAAUUUACACAUCUCUCUUAUAAUUUAUGAAACCAUAUGAGAGAUAUGUAAAAUUUGUGAACAAUGUUACUAUUAAUUUAUCGAUGAAGAAAUGACCAAAAUGAAAAUUGUAGAUCUAAAUGGAUUAUACAACUUUGUUAUUGACGACUUUUUCAGUUGAAGUC
rnacentral:pre_miRNA from 2 species